rnacentral:rRNA from 1 species
UAGGGAAUCUUCCGCAAUGGACGAAAGUCUGACGGAGCAACGCCACGUGAGUGAAGAAGGAUUUCGGUUCGUAAAACUCUGUUGUUAGGGAAGAAAAAAUGUAUAGUAACUAUAUACAAAAGAGACGGUACAUAACCAGAAAGCCACGGCUAACUACGUGCCAGCAGCCGCGGUAAUACGUAGGUGGCAAGCGUUGUCCGGAAUUAUUGGGCGUAAAGCGCGCGCAGGUGGUUUAGAAAGUCUGAUGUGAAAGCCCACGGCUCAACCGUGGAGGGUCAUUGGAAACUAAUAAACUUGAGUGCAGGAGAGAAAAGUGGAAUUCCUAGUGUAGCGGUGCAAUGCGUAGAGAUUAGGAGGAACACCGGUGGCGAAAGCGGCUUUUUGGCCUGCAACUGACACUGAGGCGCGAAUGCGUGGGGAGCAAACAGG